CUCAGAUGUGUGCAGAGUAAGGGUCGCGGGAAGGAUCCGGCCGAAGAACGCCGAUGAACUAGCUCAGGGCGCCGACUUCGAUAAUAUUGUGGAGUUGCAGCCUGAGGGGAGGGUGGGGAUGACGCUCUCCAAGUGCUGGAUCUGAAGGCCGGAGGUUGAGCUAAAUGCCCCAGUAUUAUUAUUUUGUGGAUCGGCUCCACCAACGCCUCACCAAGGCGAAGAUAUUCGAGGAGUACACAAUUCCUUGAUUAUUGGCAGUAGUGCUCCAAAUUUCUAUAUGCGGUACUUUAUACGGUAAUAUUAGCUUGCUGUUAUGCAUGGCUAGCUCACAAUACAUUUAGUUGAGCAUAUACAACAGGAUUAUCGUACUACAAGUUGAUUGCUGCAUUGAACUAAGCCCUGCUGAAUAUAUGUAUUAGUGAUGUAAAAUGUUAUCUAGCCAUUAUUUGCAUUAGAAAUUAGAAAAUAUAUUUAUGUAGCCUUUCAAAGGUUUAUGAACUGCCGAGUGAUGUGCUCUUUUAUUGUUCUUAUUAUUUCUUGGUGAAUGUUAACUAAUGGACUGCUAAGUAUGUAGGAAAAAAAGACAAAACACCAGUUCUGUAUUUCAUUGCCUGUUCUAAGCUGCUAAGUUUUUGUGUUGUUGCCACUUAGGUACAUGGUUGUUGAAGAACAUAGGUAGUGCAUCCUAAUAUAUUGGUUUUUACAAAAAAAUACGUUUUUGGUAUAUCCUCUGAGUUAGAUAGUACAUCAUACUGACUUGGAGGUCCUUCAUCCAAUGCCACGCACAUAUUGAAAUCCGGCCAGGGCCAUAUCAUAACACACUCCCAUAAAUUUUAGAAGUUUACCAUAUAUAUCAGUAUCUGGUUCCAAACACUAAACUUACUCUUAGAAGUUUGCUGCUCAUCACUUUCUCGUGUUCCCAUGUAGAAUGUUGAAUUAGCUCUUAUUCUGUACUCCCUCCGUUCCCUAUUAACUGACUCUGAUUUAUUACAACUUUUUACUAAAUCAGAGUCAAUUAAUAGGGAACACAGGGAGUACUUGCUUGCUUAUAUCACACCCUUUUCAUGCUACCCCCUACAAAAAAAGAUUGGCAAUUGAAAUUCUUUGGACAGUUAAUCAACAGUUGACAAAAAACAUUCAACCUCCUGUCGACGAUGUCCAGUCUUAUUCACUUGCAUUUCUUUUCACAUUUAAUGACAUGACACUUUCCUUUGAAUCUUUUACUAGUUCAUUGCUCUCUGAUCUGCUUAUAUUUUGAUUAGUUUUUAUUUAACCUUUUGUUGUGUAGAAUAAGAUUGUAUAGGGAUCUGUCGAUGUCGAACUAUUCUUAGAGGCUGCACUUGGUUUAUAUUAUGGAAAAGUAAACAAACCUGACAGGCUAAAGGUGAUCAUUGUAUUGCUUACUGCUUAGGGACAUGUUACAGUUACACAAUCAAACAUGAAUUGGAUUUAUUGUGUUCUCAGCUACUCAACUUACCUCUAAUUCGGAACA